CCUACGGGCGGCAGCAGUAGGGAAUAUUGCUCAAUGGGGGAAACCCUGAAGCAGCAACGCCGCGUGGAGGAUGAAGGUUUUCGGAUUGUAAACUUCUUUUGUCAGAGAAGAUAAUGACGGUAUCUAACGAAUAAGCACCGGCUAACUCCGUGCCAGCAGCCGCGGUAAUACGAAGGGGGCAAGCGUUAUUCGGAAUUACUGGGCGUAAAGAGCGCGUAGGCGGGAUAGCAAGUCAGAAGUGAAAUCCUAUGGCUUAACCAUAGAACUGCAUUUGAAACUGUUAUUCUAGAGUAUAGGAGAGGUAGGUGGAAUUCUUGGUGUAGGGGUAAAAUGCGUAGAGAUCAGGAGGAAUACUCAUUGCGAAGGCGGCCUGCUGGAACGUAACUGACGCUGAUGCGCGAAAGCGUGGGGAGCAAACAGGAUUAGAUACCCGUGUAGUC
rnacentral:rRNA from 1 species